rnacentral:rRNA from 1 species
CACGUAGUUAGCCGGUGCUUAUUCAUAAGUUACCGUCAUAUUCUUCACUUAUAAAAGCAGUUUACGACCCGAGGGCCUUCAUCCUGCACGCGGCGUUGCUCCAUCAGACUUUCGUCCAUUGUGGAAGAUUCCUCACUGCUGCCUCCCGUAGGAGUCUGGACCGUGUCUCAGUUCCAGUCUGGCUGGUCAUCCUCUCAGACCAGCUAACGAUCGUAGGCUUGGUAAGCCAUUACCUCACCAACUACCUAAUCGUACGCAGGCCACUCCCAAAGCGGAUAAAUCCUUUAAUCCGAAGAUCAUAUGCGGCAUUAGACUCCAUUUCUGGAGCUUAUUCCUCACUUUGGGGCAUGUUCCCACGCGUUACUCAGCCGUCCGCCGCUCGUCAUCAUUUCUCACUUCAGCACCAACUUAAAACGUUAGUACCAAGGUGAGAAACAUGUUACCGCUCGACUUGCAUGUGUUAAGCACGCCGCCAGCAUUCA